UGAGUAACCUGCCCUUAACUCUGGGAUAAGCCUGGGAAACUGGGUCUAAUACCGGAUAUGACUCCUCAUCGCAUGGUGGGGGGUGGAAAGCUUUUGUGGUUUUGGAUGGACUCGCGGCCUAUCAGCUUGUUGGUGAGGUAAUGGCUCACCAAGGCGACGACGGGUAGCCGGCCUGAGAGGGUGACCGGCCACACUGGGACUGAGACACGGCCAGACUCCUACGGGAGGCAG
rnacentral:rRNA from 1 species